ACCCAGAUACUAUAGCUUAGUUGGUAGAGCAUGAGACUCUUGAUCUCAGGGGCAUGAGUCUGAGCUUCACAUCGGACA